GGGGGAGAUCGCGAACGUCAGGCAGGUCUCCCCCGUAUGAAAAUGUGAUGCAAGGGAUUUUGCCAUCCACAGCCAUCAAUAUCGUUAAGCCCUGCACAAUUUAACGUGCUGUUUCCCAUUUAACAACAGUGAUUCACAGGGUGGAGGUGACAGAGGAGGUAGAACUGAACUGGCCUCGUGGUUUUUGGGUGAGUGUGUCGAAGCUGAGACCAACAAGAGGCACGCUAGAGGUGCGAGCCACAAGGCCCUAACCAAGCCCGACCCAGAUGAGUGCAAUGCUGUUGCUGAAGUGACUGGAAUUCGAAUGGCAUUGACCCCAAUGACACAAUUGUGAACAGACUGUGGUCCACACUGUAGGAACACUAGCCGCUUCAGGCGGAUCAAGUAGAGUCACAUAGAGGACAAAGAGGAGCAGCAAGAAGAAGAGGAGAUGGGGUGUGUCUAUCUGCUUACACUGGGCACACACCUGAGAACAGCUCUACAUCUUUACUGACGACCAACCCAAAGAGGAGAGAAACAACAGGCAUAAUGUAGUUCCAGGGACUACAAUGGGUGCGUUACCAGACCAGCACAGGACAGCUUGGCAUGGAUUGGCUCAGUCGUGAGAAACAGUCCGUCCUGACCUGUUCAUGAGUGACGGGGAUGAGUCUGAGUUUGGACAGCUCUCUCAGCACGUUGAGGUCCGUCCGCAUGUCCAGCUUACAGCCCACCAAUACCACCUUGGCGUUAGGACAGAACUCCUGCGCCUCCCCCUGCCACUGUGGAUCAAGAGGAAGAAACUAGUCAGAACCGAGCGUAACAGAAUGAGACGGCAGUCUGAAGAGGAAAAGAUGUGGAAUGUAGAAGGGAGGGGUGGAAACAGAGAAAGGAAGGUGAAAUAGAGGUGGGACUGAGAGGGAAACGGAUAGAGGGAGACUCUCCUUCCUCUUUGCCCUCCUUCCUCCCUUCUUUUCUCAACACUCUCCCUAAAUCAGAUCUCUUCAGAACCCACCAGUAGGGGAUAAGCCAGUGUUCCUAACACACUGGGGCUUUCCCAUAAGGCAGUCAUUAGACACACAGCAGAGGCCCGGGCCCCUAUUGGCCCCUUACCGUCCCCAUAAACCCCCCUUGUCCCAGUCCCCACAAACCACAGCCCCCCAUGCACCAUCCUCCCUCACCAGCUGCAGCACAGCUUCUCACUGUACCAGCUUGCCUGGCACGGAUGACAACACUAGGCUACAGCAAAACUAAAGUCAACUUCACUAUUGCGUAGUUUUGUUGUUUUCAACGGUUUGAUCUAAACUACACUGUUUACAUUUUUUUUUUUAAGAUAAUGAUUUCAUGUAUAAUUGCUGCUGGAUUGUGAGUUUACUCAGCAUUUGGGCAUAUAGUUGAAUUGAAUUGUUUACUACAUUUUAGGUUGAGUGAAUAUAUAAUUCCAUUUGAGAAUUUAUUCUACCUUAUUUAAAUAUUACUCAGUGUGCCUUGCAUUUCCAGUGAAUUGUAAUUACCAUCCAUGACUGUAUUUGUUAGUGACAGAGACAUGGUUAUUGUAUUAAAAGGC